CCUACGGGAGGCAGCAGUGGGGAAUAUUGCACAAUGGGGGAAACCCUGAUGCAGCGACGCCGCGUGAGUGAAGAAGUAACUCGUUAUGUAAAGCUCUAUCAGCAGGGAAGAAAAUGACGGUACCUGAGUUAGAAGCCCCGUCUAACUACGUGACAGCUGCCGCGGCAAUGCGCAGGCUGCAAGCGUUAUCCGGAUUUACUGGGUGUAAAGGGGGCGUAGACGGCAGUGCAAGUCUGGAGUGAAAGGCGGGGGCUCAACCACCGGACUGCUCUGGAAACUGUACGGCUGGAGUGCAGGAGAGGUAAGUGGAAUUCCUAGUGUAGCGGUGAAAUGCGUAGAUAUUAGGAGGAACACCAGUGGCGAAGGCGGCUUACUGGACUAUAACUGACGUUGAGGCUCGAAAGCGUGGGGAGCAAACAGGAUUAGAUACCCUUGUAGUC
rnacentral:rRNA from 1 species